rnacentral:lncRNA from 1 species
UUCAAAUUCAGUCCACAUACAAAACCCAAAACCCAAAGUUGACAAAUAAAACUCAAAUCCAAAGUCCAUAAAUAAAUCCUAAAAUCCAAAAUCCACAAACAAAACCCAUAAGACCCAAAGUCCAUAAAUAAAAACCCAAAGCCCAAAGUCCACAAAUAAAACCCCAAAAUCCAAAGUCCACAAAUAAAUCAAAAAUCAAAGUCCACAAAUAAAACCCGAAACCCAAAAUUCACAAAUAAAAUCCAAAACCCAAAGUCCACAAAUAAAAAAACCAAAAACCAAAGUCCACAAAUAAAACCGAAAACUCAAAGUCCACAGAUAAAAUUGAAAACCCAAAAUCCACAAGUAAAACCAAAACCCAAAGCCCACAAAUAAAAUCCAAAACCCAAAGCCCAAAAAUAAAAUCCAAAGCCCAAAAUAUACAGACAAACCCAUGAGACCCAAAAUCCACAAAUAAAAACCCAAAAUCUAAAGUCCACAAAUAAAAUCCCAAAAUUCAAAGUCCACAAAUAAACCCAAAACCCGAAAGUCCAAAAACAAAAACCAACCCGGUCUAUUUCAUAAAUAAAACCACC